AGCAUAUCAAUAAGCGGAGGAAAAGAAACCAACAGGGAUUGCCUCAGUAACGGCGAGUGAAGCGGCAAGAGCUCAGAUUUGAAAUCAGUUGCGCCUCCGCGCUUCCGAAUUGUAAUCUGAAGAGGAGACUUCGGGGCGAACGCCGGUCCAUGUUCCUUGGGACAGGACGUCAUAGAGGGUGAGAAUCCCGUGAUCGGCUGGCAGUUCAAACCAUGUGAAGCUCCUUCGACGAGUCGAGUUGUUUGGGAAUGCAGCUCAAACUGGGUGGUAAAUUCCAUCUAAAGCUAAAUACCGGCGAGAGACCGAUAGCGCACAAGUAGAGUGAUCGAAAGAUGAAAAGCACUUUGAAAAGAGAGUUAAACAGUACGUGAAAUUGUUGAAAGGGAAGCGCUUGCGACCAGAAUAGCGGUCUGCCGAUCAACGUACCUUCUGAUGCGUGCACUCGGCUUUCAGCUUGCCAGCAUCGGUUGCGGCGGCGGGACAAAGGCGGCGGGAAUGUGACUCCCUUCGGGGAGUGUUAUAGCCCGCCGCGUAAUGCCGCCCGCCACGACCGAGGAACCCGCGCCUCACGGCUAGGAUGCNGGCUUAAUGGUCGUAAGCGACCCGU
rnacentral:rRNA from 1 species